AUUGAACGCUGGCGGCAUGCUUUACACAUGCAAGUCGAAUGGUAACAGGCCGCAAGGUGCUGACGAGUGGCGAACGGGUGAGUAAUGCAUCGGAACGCGCCCAGUCGUGGGGGAUAACUACUCGAAAGAGUAGCUAAUACCGCAUACGAUCUAUGGAUGAAAGCGGGGGACCGUAAGGCCUCGCGCGAUUGGAGCGGCCGAUGUCAGAUUAGGUAGUUGGCGGGGUAAAGGCUCACCAAGCCAACGAUCUGUAGCUGGUCUGAGAGGACGACCAGCCACACUGGGACUGAGACACGGCCCAGACUCCUACGGGAGGCAGCAGUGGGGAAUUUUGGACAAUGGGCGCAAGCCUGAUCCAGCAAUGCCGCGUGCAGGAAGAAGGCCUUCGGGUUGUAAACUGCUUUUGUACGGAACGAAACGGCUCUGGUUAAUACCCGGGGCUAAUGACGGUACCGUAAGAAUAAGCACCGGCUAACUACGUG
rnacentral:rRNA from 1 species